UGGGGAAUUUUGGACAAUGGGCGAAAGCCUGAUCCAGCAAUGCCGCGUGUGUGAAGAAGGCCUUCGGGUUGUAAAGCACUUUUGUCCGGAAAGAAAUCCUUGGCUCUAAUACAGUCGGGGGAUGACGGUACCGGAAGAAUAAGCACCGGCUAACUACGUGCCAGCAGCCGCGGUAAUACGUAGGGUGCAAGCGUUAAUCGGAAUUACUGGGCGUAAAGCGUGCGCAGGCGGUUUGCUAAGACCGAUGUGGAAUCCCCGGGCUCAACCUGGGAACUGCGUUGGUGACUGGCAGGCUAGAGUAUGGCAGAGGGGGGUAGAAUUCCACGUGUAGCAGUGAGAUGCGUAGAGAUGUGGAGGAAUACCGAUGGCGAAGGCAGCCCCCUGGGCCAAUACUGACGCUCAUGCACGAAAGCGUGGGGAGCAAACAGGAUUAGAUACCCUGGUAGUCCACGCCCUAAACGAUGUCAACUAGUUGUUGGGGAUUCAUUUCCUUAGUAACGUAGCUAACGCGUGAAGUUGACCGCCUGGGGAGUACGGUCGCAAGAUUAAAACUCAAAUGAAUUGACGGGGUCAUAGCUGUUUCCU
rnacentral:rRNA from 1 species